rnacentral:rRNA from 1 species
AUGAAGCCAGGGAGACCGAUCUCGGCAGCGCGGGCGUCUACACGUUCGGUCUCGGCAAGGACUCAGAUCACCAGCUGCUCAACGACAUCGCCAAGAAAUCCCCCGGCGGGGACGUUCAGUACCGUGGUGGACGGGUCGAACCUGACCAAGCCAUUCGCCCAGAUGCUGGGUGGCCUCCUCACCGUGGUCGCGCAGGACGUGCGGCUCAUCCUCACACCCAAGAAAGCGGACGGCCUGAAGGAUAUGGUGGUGCCCGAAGACACCGACUACACCAAGACCACGGACGCCGCCGGCGUCAUCACCAUCCACUUCGGCACCCUCUUCAGCGGAGAGUCGCGCAAGGUCACCGUCAAGAUGACGCUCUCGGAGUGCGCCGUCGGCACGACGCGGCACGACGCGGUCUUGGCCGAGGCCCAGCACAGCUACAGCGCCCAGUCGAUUGUGCAGGGUCUCCAAACCCCCGAGAACCUCAAGAUCUUCCGCACCCCGAACCCAGCCACCGUCGCCGGCAGCAAGGCGCGUUGGGUGCUGGCCGAGCUGGCGCGGCGGCGGCAGGCUGAGGCGAUCAGGAAGGCCAUGGCCCUGGCGGACAACGGUGACCUCGACGGGGCGCGCUACUUGCUUGUAGACGCGCAGAAUGCACUGGAGGACGUCUUGCUGGACGACGGCCAGAAGCUGAUCGACUCGCUUCGCGCCGAGCUCGUGCAGCUCAUCAAGCUCAUGGCCUCCAAGGAGCUCUACGAGGCGCAGGGCCGCCCCUACGCGCUCGCCUCCGAUACCUCCCACGCCCGCCAGCGGUUCGCUGACAGGGGAGACGUCACGGACACCGCCCGCCUCUUCGCCACGCCGCGCAUGGACACCUACCUCGAGCAGGCCAAGCAGUUCGACAAGGACCCCACCAAGCCGCUGCCCUCCGCCGCCGAUGACGUCAAGGAAGAGAUCGCCGCCAACCCCAUGGCCGCCUUCUCCUCCGAGCUCGCCUUUUACCUCCGGAACGCAAUCGAGGCUCUGCAGGCCAUCGAGAAGAUGGUAGCCGCCCCCACCGCCACCGCCUAG